rnacentral:rRNA from 1 species
ACGGCUCAGUAACACGUGGCUAAUCUGCCCUUGGGACCGGAAUACCCCCGGGAAACUGGGGCUAAUUCUCGAUAGGUGAAGAACUCUGGAAUGAGUCUUUGCCCAAAAGAUGCUAGAGUUAUGCUCUUUGGCAUCGCCCAAGGAUGAGGCCGCGACCGAUCAGGUUGUUGGUGAGGUAAUGGCUCACCAAGCCUUUUACCGGUGCGGGCCGUGAGAGCGGGAGCCCGGAGAUGGGCACUGAGACAAGGGCCCAGGCCCUACGGGGCGCAGCAGUCGCGAAAACUUUGCAAUACACGAAAGUGUGACAGGGCUAUCCCGAGUGCCAUCCGCUGAGGAAGGCUUUUACCCAGUCUAGAACGCUGGGGGAAUAAGGAGAGGGCAAGUCUGGUGUCAGCCGCCGCGGUAAUACCAGCUCUCCGAGUGGUGUGGAUGUUUAUUGGGCCUAAAGCAUCCGUAGCUGGCUAAGUUAGUCCCUUGUUAAAUCCACCGAAUUAAUCGUUGGAUUGCGGGGGAUACUGCUUGGCUAGGGGACGAGAGAGGCAGACGGUAUUUCCGGGGUAGGGGUGAAAUCCUAUAAUCCCGGGAAGACCACCAGUGGCGAAGGCUGUCUGCUAGAACGCGCCCGACGGUGAGGGAUGAAAGCUGGGAGAGCGAACCGGAUUAGAUACCCGGGUAGUCCCAGCUGUAAACGAUGCAGGCUAGGUGUUUGGACGGCCACGUGCCGUUCUAGUGCCGCAGGGAAGCUGUUAAGCCUGCCGCCUGGGGAGUACGAUCGCAAGAUUGAAACUUAAAGGAAUUGGCGGGGGAGCAC